UGCUGCUGGUCUCCUGAUGGCUGUUGCUGCUU
rnacentral:piRNA from 1 species